AGAGUUCCACCAGCGCCACCAAGCCCGCCAGGUACACCAAGCCCGCCAGCGGUAGAACAAUCGCCUCCAAGAAGGCCCAACUCAAGAAGAAUGUCCACAACACCAACCCUGUUUGCACCUCCAUCUGCACCUCCAUCCUCACCUCCAUCCGUACAUCAGUCUAUACCUCCAUCUGCACCUCCACCUGUACCUCUAUCUGCACCUCCAUCCUCACCUCCAUCCGGACAUCGGUCUGUACCUCCAUCCGCACUUCCAUCCGUACAUCAGUCCGUACCUCCAUCUGCACCUCUGCCUUUACAUGGGAAGUUCGGGUGCAGGAAGCGAGGGGGGAGAAAGCGAAGGUGGAAGAAGAGCAACUGAGCGGGGAGGAAGUGGAUCUGGAGAAGACCAACCUUGGUUAUUUUUGUAAAUAGUGUUAUUUUUUAUUAUUGCUACUAUUAUUAUUAUUAUUAUUAUUUAUUAUUACUAUUAUUAUUAUUAUUAUUGAUAAUAAAUAUAUUCUUCUGAAAGACA